AACGCGAAGAACCUUACCAAAUCUUGACAUCCCGAUGACAGGCUGUGUAAAGCAGCUUCUCUUCGGAGCAUCGGUGACAGGUGGUGCAUGGUUGUCGUCAGCUCGUGUCGUGAGAUGUUGGGUUAAGUCCCGCAACGAGCGCAACCCUUGUCUUUAGUAGCCAGCAUUUAGGAUGGGCACUCUAGAGAGACUGCCAGGGAUAACCUGGAGGAAGGUGGGGAUGACGUCAAAUCAUCAUGCCCCUUAUGAUUUGGGCUACACACGUGCUACAAUGGCGUAAACAAAGAGAAGCAAAGGAGUGAUCCGGAGCAAAUCUCAAAAAUAACGUCUCAGUUCGGAUUGUAGUCUGCAACUCGACUACAUGAAGCUGGAAUCGCUAGUAAUCGCGAAUCAGAAUGUCGCGGUGAAUACGUUCCCGGGUCUUGUACACACGC
rnacentral:rRNA from 1 species